ensembl:lncRNA
CGCGGCUGGCUGAGAGGGGUGAGCGGACUGGGAACAACGUGUGAUUAUCACAAGAUAACUGCGUCGGUCCCCAGGAGCAAGCACGCUAGCAGCAACAGCGGCAGCAGAGGCGGAAGGACACGAGUGUGUGUUAGUCGCCCAGUCGUGCCCGACUCUUUGCGACCCCAUGGGCUGCAGCCCACCAGGCUCUUCUGUGGGAGUGGNNUGCCAUUUCCUUCUCCAAGGGAUCUUCCCGACCCAGGGAUUGAACCCAGGAUUCCCGCACGCAGGCGUAUUCUUUACCGGCUGAGCUACAAGGGAAGCCCCAGACGUAGGCAAGCAGCAACACAAGGAGACAACCAACACGGUGCAAAGGCCAGCAGUCACGGCGGGAGCAUCACGUUGCGGAGGAGCCGAAGGCUAGCCAGGAGAAAGCUCUGCACAAAAAGCGGGCUCCACACCCCUGGCAGGGAUCCGACCGCCUCUGCACUGCUGAAGGCUCACCCAGGCGCAGAUCAGGAGGGCAGUGCUUACAGAAGCUGCUGUCGGUUUCUGCCUAGUGUACAAUGUCUUUUCAUGCAGGACAGCGGAUGUGUAUCUUCAGAUGCAGCGGUCUGGGUCGUGUCAGACUCGCAGUGGACACUUGACAAGUCCCGCCCGAGGUGAGGGCCUCGUCCCUGUCAUCGGCACACCUGACACAGAGCACGAACCGUCACCGGGGCACGCUGCGGCUGGGGCUCCGCUGACCUGCCUGCCGACUCACGUGUGGCUCUUGGCUGUCUUCGGAAUGCUUGGAGACUCCUCUGCAGUUUCCUCGCAGAGAGCCCUCAUAUAGGGUGUUGCCUGCAAAUGGCCUGAGUUCCUCGUGACCAUUAAGCUAAAGAAGGAAUCCUCACGCCGAGCUGCCGCAAGCCUUCUUCACUAGUGGCGUUUAGUGCAGAGCAGCUGGCAGCUGUGCGGGAGCCCAGGCGCGGGGAGGUUCUGGCCAGUGAUGAGUGGCCGCGUCCCGCUGGCAGAGAAAGCUCUGUCUGAAAGCUACGCCCGGCUCCGGUACCGGGACACCUCCCUGCUCGUCUGGCAACAGCAGCAGCAGAAGCUGGCAUCCGCGCUGCCCGGGACGUACCUGAGCAGGAGCCGAAGCAUGUGGUACUCACAAUACGGGAACGAGGCCAUCCUCGUCCGGGACAGAAAUAAGCUGGACGUCUCUCGGGACACGGGGCAGUCCAGGUUUUGUUCUAUAAUGUAAUUCUGGGGUGAAAAUCAGCCCAGGCACCAGGCCGCCUUGCUGACCCCUAGCCCUCCCUGGGAGAUUCUGACAGGGAAUGUGAAGGCUGCGCUGUGAUAGAAGAACCCCCAAACCCCAGAGGUGGCACCCCGCCCACUCACAGUCGGGGUGAUGGGUGGACUUCUGGACCCCAUCCUGACCCUGCAGGCACAGCCUGGGCCCAGCUAGAUGCUGUCCUGGUCACGCUUCCCAGUAAGUCACGCAAGAGAGAUACCCCAGGUACAAACAGCCUUUUCACAUUCUUACAGGUUGUGUCUAGUAUUCCCUUCUGCCUGGUGAAGAAUGGGUCAAAUCUAAAAAAACAAAACAGUGAAUUGGCGUCAUGUCGGAUCAGAAGUCCACCGGCAGGACCACAGUGGUUUUACAGGUCGUUGGCAGCAGCAUUUCGGCAGGAACCCUGUGGCACUGACUGGGGUUUGAGUCUAGUUACCAGAGCGAUCACUGCCCGCGACGCACCGUGAUGGCUUCGACACUAGCUGCCUGAUGCUGGGGGCUGCGGGCAAAGGCAUCCGGAAACUUAGGUAGGGGAAGCCCCCCAUUAUGAAGCUGCACGUCUGCUGCUAACAGCGACCUCAGGUUUGAUCACAGAGCUGAAAUAGGCAGGUUCUCAGCAGACAGCAGCUCAGCCUCUGCUCCAGGGCCGCAGCCCCCGGCCACCUGCAGUGCGUGAUGCGUGUCGGCUCCCCNNNNNNNNNNNNNNNNNNNNNNNNNNNNNNNNNNNNNNNNNNNNNNNNNNNNUCUGUGUGGCAAGGCAAAUGCAGAGGUGUCUUGCCGAAGCGGAAUUUUCUUUAUAAAUAAAUCUCCUUCAGGAGGCUCCUUCCUUCCUCACUCCAAAUUUCAAUCUGUCUGUUCAUAAUAUCCUACCUUGGCUUCUGGGGUUUUUGUUUACAACAGUAACAAUUGCUAAGAACCGCAGGGCAGGCAGCGCUCCGGGGAGCCCACAGGUGGGCAGAGACCGUCCCGCCGGACGUGCACACAGCGCAUCCAGAGCUUCCGUGUGCGUGGUUGCUCACGCAGGCGUGCAAGCUAGUCAGCAGACAGCAUCCAGAAGGAAGGGCUGGGUCAGACUGCAUUCCCCACAGGCCACACGUCCAGCCAGAAGCCUGGUUCUCGCUGACAGAGCCUCGGCUUGCUUGCCGCCUCCGGUCGGGAGGCUGGAAGACCGAGUUCCUUUAAGUGGCUCCCGGAGAUGAAGAGGAAGCCUGUCUCACGUAGAGUCGGGCCUGUGCAGUGAAGGCUCGCCCGUCCAGGCGCCGGGACACUGGAAUCCCCUAGGAGAGGGGCCUUGCCGGCAUCUCUGCAGUCCUCUGACUGAAGUCCAGGUCGGGAAGGAAGCAAAGUUCUGACUUAGCUGGAAUGCCUCUGCCUCCCCCUAGACUGGCCGAGGAGCGGGCCCUGGCUGGUCAGCUGCAGUCACAGAGGCGGCGGCCAGGACAGGAGAGCAGGCACUGAGCUGCUCGGCGAGCGGGAGCCGCUUCGCCUCAGGGAAGCCUGGGCGCCUGGCCUUCCUGCCGGGGCUGGGACACCGAGGUAGGUGUGCUCAGUCCCCGACCUUGGGGGNNNNNNNNNNNNNNNNNNNNNNNNNNNNNNNNNNNNNNNNNNNNNNNNNNNNNNNNNNNNNNNNNNNNNNNNNNNNNNNNNNNNNNNNNNNNNNNNNNNGCCGGGGCUGGGACACCGAGGUAGGUGUGCUCAGUCCCCGACCUUGGGGGGCUCAGGCUGGGUGACGUGUGCCAAGGGAAUACAGGGGAGGGUGGCCUCGGGCCUGGACAGCACCCCACUGCAAGGCCUGGCUCCAGCAGUCACAUUUUGAAAACAGUGUCAGAACCUGCACUUGUCUCGACACCUUGAUCCCUUGCUGCCGGGUUCCAGGCUGCCUGGAAGAAACCUCAGCGUGUACACUGCCCCAUGUAGUUUCUUGGAAACAUCCUCGGGCCAGCCGGACGAGCACUGGAUGCCUGUGGUCUCAGGAAGCGCCUUAGCGUAGACGGAAGGCCCAGUGGGAGCGCCAGACAGAUGGUCAGGCUGGGCGGUGGGGGGGGGGUGGUGCCUGCGGGUCAGCCACUGGCCUGAAAAGGCAACACACAGCGCUCCUGAGGUCCUGGGGCCUCCCCAACCUGGGCUGAGGACCAGAGCCACUGGGCCGGCUGAGACCCCUUUGGGACGCUCCGGGCAUUCCCACCAGGAGCUACGGGAUGUUAAAACGAGGGCACCCCUCCCCCAUCACACACCAGCCAGGGGAGCGCUGGGAGCCCAGAAAGCAGAGACGGGGCCUCUUUUUUUUCUUUUUUCUUUUAUUAUGAAAACAAAACAAAUGCCCCAGGAGAAGGGUCCAUGAUCACCAGAAACAGUACUUUCUACCACUUUUAUUCUGUCGUGAUGAGGCCAGAACUGCAGUAAACAAGCUAAAGCUACUUACAUCGGACUCAUUUUCAGUAACUGACAUUCACAGGAAUAUACUAGAAACGGCACUAAAAAGUGUAAGAAAAGUUACGGCGAACUUGCAUGCACAUCAUACAGAAAAGUAACAUUUCAAAUAUAAAAAAAGGAAAACCUCCUGGAAGUGUCACGCCGGCACCAGGGAGCAGCGCUACACGGCUGUAACGAAGUCUUCAUUGUGGGCGGGGCUCCCCCCCACCCCCACCACACCUGUAAAAGAUGGGAACGGGGCAAAAGAACAGAAAAAGCAAACAAAACGAAAAAUGCAUCUGAACAGCCUGUAAGCAAGAUGAGUGAGCAAGGGUUUCUGGAGUUCAGUUCAUGGCCAAAGCCACCCCCUCGGCCCCCAGGGGUCGGGGAGACUGUUUGAAAGCCGCGAUCUCGAGUCCUGCACGGGUGCGACCCAGUGAACACGGUUCCCAAGCCUCGACGGGCUGCCCUCUAGUU